AUGUCACCAAAAGCUUUCGGGUGCACCUCAGUGUGCUCGCACCGCAGCUCCUCGACAUCCUGUCCCUCGGACUCGACGUCCUGGUGCCUAUCUAGAGCGCCGCCUCCGGCUCACCGGCCCUACUACCCAUGGAGGACGACCAACUACUUGAAACUGAAGAUCGACUACUACCCGUGGUGCGCGCAGCCGGAGCUGUCGGUGGGCAUGGAGGCGUACAUGGACGCCAGUGCGCUCUGCGCUCUUCUCCAUCCUCAUGGGCGUGGGUUGGCCACCAUGCCAGCUUCCUAUUGUGUCCACGGUUUCAAACUACAGUUUGAGUCCAAAAACGAAAAAUGGUUUGGAUGGGGCUGGUAG
rnacentral:rRNA from 1 species